rnacentral:rRNA from 1 species
GAUGAACGCUGGCGGCGUGCUUAACACAUGCAAGUCGAACGAAGUGGAUGUCUUCGGACUGAAACUUAGUGGCGGACGGGUGAGUAACGCGUGGGUAACCUGCCUCGUACAGGGGGAUAACAGUUAGAAAUGACUGCUAAUACCGCAUAACCCGCUAAGGUCGCAUGACCUGGACGGAAAAGAUUUAUCGGUACGAGAUGGACCCGCGUCUGAUUAGCUAGUUGGUGAGGUAACGGCCCACCAAGGCGACGAUCAGUAGCCGACCUGAGAGGGUGAUCGGCCACAUUGGGACUGAGACACGGCCCAAACUCCUACGGGAGGCAGCAGUGGGGAAUAUUGCACAAUGGGGGAAACCCUGAUGCAGCAACGCCGCGUGAGUGAUGAAGUAUUUCGGUAUGUAAAGCUCUAUCAGCAGGGAAGAAAUUGACAGUACCUGACUAAGAANCCCCGGCUAACUACGUG